GGGUCGUUAGCUCAGUAGGUAGAGCAGCGGACUUUUAAUCCGUUGGUCGAGCGUUCGAAUCGCUCACGACCCACCA
rnacentral:tRNA from 1 species